rnacentral:rRNA from 1 species
GGUUAAGCGAAUAAGCGUACACGGUGGAUGCCUAGGCAGUCAGAGGCGAUGAAGGACGUGCUAAUCUGCGAUAAGCGCCGGUAAGGUGAUAUGAACCGUUAUAACCGGCGAUUUCCGAAUGGGGAAACCCAGUGUGAUCCGUCACACUAUCAUUACCUGAAUACAUAGGGUAAUGAAGCGAACCGGGAGAACUGAAACAUCUAAGUACCCCGAGGAAAAGAAAUCAAACGAGAUUCCCCCAGUAGCGGCGAGCGAACGGGGAGCAGCCCAGGACCUUAAUCAGCAUCAGUGUUAAGAGAACAGUCUGGAAAGGCUGGCCACAGCAGGUGAUAGCCCUGUAUCUGAAAGCACUGGUGUUGUGAGUCCGAUGAGUAAGGCGGGACACGUGUUAUCCUGUCUGAAUAUGGGGGGACCAUCCUCCAAGGCUAAAUACUCCUGACUGACCGAUAGUGAACCAGUACCGUGAGGGAAAGGCGAAAAGAACCCCGGCGAGGGGAGUG